UGCAGUGCAAUCAGAAACAUCAAGCCAUUACAGAGCAUUCCUUCUGUCUCUUUUAGGCGCCACACCCCGCUAGACAGAGGUGAGUGUAAUAAUAACCCUUUUCUUGAUCUCGUGGUUCACCAUUUGUACAGCUUAUGGGGAUGGCCAAGAUAAAGAAUUUCGUGGAAGGGUCGCCCUGCAAAUAAAGUUCCAUGAGUUGAGAGAAGAGGCUUGUUCUGUGUGUUCUUCAGUUGUCUGCUUUUGUUUGUACAUCGUUAUUUCCACGUCAAAGUUAGCAGCGUGGAAUGUUUGCUAGAUUGGUCAUAUCUUGUCGUAUUGUCUAAUUUAGUACCAAUUGUCUUUGUAGCUAUCUUAAGCUGUAUAUUGCACUAUGAUUUACCCCUUUUCAGCUUUCUAUAUUAAAGAUCUAAUGAUAAGGCUUUGAUUGUAACUUUUCGUACUUGGACCCAAUUGUUUAAAUUAAUGCAAUUAUCAAAUGUUUAAGAGGGUGUUUGGCAAGUUAUAAGGUAAGGGUGCGUUUUCUUUGGUUGUAAAUUUAUCAUGAGAAAAAUAGGGAUAAAUAAAAUUUCACCCUUCAAAUCAUUCUUUUCUUUUCUCACAUUUUCUACUUGACCCUUACUCAUUCCUCAUUUACACUACAAAUGAGGGAUAAUAUUAUUCCUCCAAAAAUAGUGUGAUAAUAUUAUCCCUCCUUUGUAGUGUAAAUGAAGAAUGAGUAAGGGUCAAGUAAGAAAUGUGGGAAAAGAAAAGAAGGAUUUAAAGGGUUAAAUUUUGUUUAUCCUUCCUUUUCCCAUGAUAAAUUUACAAUCAAAAAGAACGCACCCUUAGGAGUUUAUAAGCNAAAAAGUUACACCAAUAUAAUAACUACAAUCACACUUCAAACCCUAAUUAUACUAGCCAAAGAGAUGAAAGAGAGAUGGACAAAUAGAGAUAAAGGAGGCAGGAGCAAACAUACCUUACAAGUUGGAAGUACAAAUAGAAUAUUCUCCAUUUAAGUGCAUGUGUCUUGGCUCUAAUAAAGAAAUUGUUGCAAUUUGAAGUUAGUCUUUUAGCUUUUAGGUACUUAGUCUUUACAUGUAUACUAUUAUGUUUUACUACGUUAAUUAUAGGCUACACACACCCACAAUAAUUGUUAUUGUUAACUAUCAUUAUUAGUUGGUAUAUAUACACACACAUACUCAAAAAAUAGUGUAGACAAAUAAUAAUACAAUGAUGUAAAUAAAAUAUUCAUAAUCUAUUAAUAUAUUCAUGGCAAGGAGUAAUGCAAAGAGUUUGAGCCUAUAAUCCUUGCUUAUGUUCUUCCCUGCUCUUCUGCACUGUAGUUGCUACUGGCAUACGCUAGUUCUCCUCGGUAUGAAGGUCCGGAGGUGGACAGGGCAAUAGCAGAGCAUGAUGCUAAGUCUCUCUUUAAAGCUGGGGAGAAGAAGCUUGGAACUGAUGAAGACACUUUCAUACGCAUUUUCGCUGAGCGAAGCCGGGCACAACUGGCUGCUGUUUCUUCUGCUUACCAUAGCAUGUAUGGGAGCUCACUUAAAAAGGUACUAUUUCCUUAAAGGUUGUAAUUCUUGCGCAUAGAAACUGUAUGUUGGAUAUAUAAACAUCUUUGAAUCAUUCUGCAGGCCGUAAAAAGUGAAACGUCUGGGAACUUUGAGCUUGGUCUCUUAACUAUAUUACAGUGUGCUGAAAACCCUGGGAAGUAUUUUGCAAAGGUAAACUACGACAUUCUGUCUUAAUUACAUUCUCUCCGGGAUUAGCUACUUAUUUUUGUGUAAUGACUGCAUAUUUCACCUUGAAAUGCAGAUGCUGCACAAAGCAAUGAAGGGUAUGGGAACCGAUGACUCAACCCUUACCAGAGUGAUAGUGACAAGAGCGGAGAUUGAUCUGCAGUAUAUAAAAGCAGAGUACCAAAAGAAAUAUGGGAAGUCGCUCAACGAUGCAGUGCAAUCAGAAACAUCAAGCCAUUACAGAGCAUUCCUUCUGUCUCUUUUAGGCGCCACACCCCGCUAGACAGAGGUGAGUGUAAUAAUAGACCCUUUUCUUGAUCUCGUGGUUCACCAUUUGUACAGCUUAUGGGGAUGGCCAAGAUAAAGAAUUUCGUGGAAGGGUCGCCCUGCAAAUAAAGUUCCAUGAGUUGAGAGAAGAGGCUUGUUCUGUGUGUCCUUCAGUUGUCUGCUUUUGUUUGUACAUCGUUAUUUCCACGUCAAAGUUAGCAGCGUGGAAUGUUUGCUAGAUUGGUCAUAUCUUGUCGUAUUGUCUAAUUUAGUACCAAUUGUCUUUGUAGCUAUCUUAAGCUGUAUAUUGCACUAUGAUUUACCCCUUUUCAGCUUUCUAUAUUAAAGAUCUAAUGAUAAGGCUUUAGUAACUUUUGUCCUUUGACCCAAGUUUAAAUUAAUGCAAUUAUCAUAUGUUUA
rnacentral:lncRNA from 1 species